GAUGAACGCUGGCGGCGUGCUUAACACAUGCAAGUCGAACGAUGAUCCGGUGCUUGCACCGGGGAUUAGUGGCGAACGGGUGAGUAACACGUGAGUAACCUGCCCUGGACUCUGGGAUAACCCCGAGAAAUCGGAGCUAAUACCGGAUAGGACCUCGAAUCGCAUGGUUUGGGGUGGAAAGUUUUUCGGUCUGGGAUGGACUCGCGGCCUAUCAGCUUGGUGGUGAGGUAAUGGCUCACCAAGGCGUCGACGGGUAGCCGGCCGGAGAGGGUGACCGGCCACACUGGGACUGAGACACGGCCCAGACUCCUACGGGAGGCAGCAGUGGGGAAUAUUGCACAAUGGGCGCAAGCCUGAUGCAGCAACGCCGCGUGAGGGAUGACGGCCUUCGGGUUGUAAACCUCUUUUAGUAGGGAAGAAGGGCUUCGGCUUGACGGUACCUGCAGAAAAAGGACCGGCUAACUACGUGCCAGCAGCCGCCGUAAAAC
rnacentral:rRNA from 1 species